rnacentral:SRP_RNA from 1 species
CCGCACAGCCGGGGAAUUAGCGGUGCCCUGUACCUGCAAUCCGCUAUAGCAGGGGUGAUGGCUGGCUUAGGGGUAUUUGUUGUAGAGCUGCCCUUGGCAAGUGGCGUUGAAGUCCGGGUCUCGCGCAAUGAGAGCCUACGAACCGUGUCAGGUGGGGAACCAAGCAGCACUAAGUAGGAUUUCCCAUGUGCCGUGAGGGUGCCUGGACUGAGUUAACUGCCAAGGUAACGUCUAUGACGAUGCAACGAAGCCCGCCGUGCGG